rnacentral:rRNA from 1 species
GACGGAGGAUGCAAGUGUUAUCCGGAAUCAUUGGGUUUAAAGGGUCCGUAGGCGGACGAUUAAGUCAGAGGUGAAAGUCUGCAGCUCAACUGUAGAAUUGCCUUUGAUACUGGUUGUCUUGAAUUAUUGUGAAGUGGUUAGAAUAAGUAGUGUAGCGGUGAAAUGCGUAGAGAUCUGAAGGAAUACCAGUGGCGAAGGCAGCUUUCUGGACUAUUACUGACGCUGAGGCACGAAAGCGUGGGGAGCAAACAGG